rnacentral:tRNA from 1 species
AGACCUAGGAACCAAAAUUCUUCUCCAAAUUUGCAAUUUGGGGUUUUCUUCUAGGUC